rnacentral:rRNA from 1 species
AUUGAACGCUUGCGGCAUGCUUUACACAUGCAAGUCGGACGGCAGCACAGAGAAGCUUGCUUCUUGGGUGGCGAGUGGCGAACGGGUGAGUAACGCAUCGGAACGUACCGAGUAGUGGGGGAUAACUGUCCGAAAGGAUGGCUAAUACCGCAUACGCUUUGAGAAGGAAAGCGGGGGAUCUUCGGACCUCGCGCUAUUCGAGCGGCCGAUGUCUGAUUAGCUAGUUGGUGGGGUAAAGGCCUACCAAGGCGACGAUCAGUAGCGGGUCUGAGAGGAUGAUCCGCCACACUGGGACUGAGACACGGCCCAGACUCCUACGGGAGGCAGCAGUGGGGAAUUUUGGACAAUGGGCGCAAGCCUGAUCCAGCCAUGCCGCGUGUCUGAAGAAGGCCUUCGGGUUGUAAAGGACUUUUGUCAGGGAAGAAAAGCUUUGGGUUAAUACCCUGGAGUGAUGACGGUACCUGAAGAAUAAGCACCGGCUAACUACGUGCCAGCAGCCGCGGUAAUACGUAGGGUGCGAGCGUUAAUCGGAAUUACUGGGCGUAAAGCGAGCGCAGACGGUUUGUUAAGCAGGAUGUGAAAUCCCCGGGCUCAACCUGGGAGCUGCGUUCUGAACUGGCAGGCUAGAGUAUGUCAGAGGGGGGUAGAAUUCCACGUGUAGCAGUGAAAUGCGUAGAGAUGUGGAGGAAUACCGAUGGCGAAGGCAGCCCCCUGGGAUAAUACUGACGUUCAUGCUCGAAAGCGUGGGUAGCAAACAGGAUUAGAUACCCUGGUAGUCCACGCCCUAAACGAUGUCAAUUAGCUGUUGGGGCACUUGAUGCCUUAGUAGCGUAGCUAACGCGUGAAAUUGACCGCCUGGGGAGUACGGUCGCAAGAUUAAAACUCAAAGGAAUUGACGGGGACCCGCACAAGCGGUGGAUGAUGUGGAUUAAUUCGAUGCAACGCGAAGAACCUUACCUGGUCUUGACAUGUACGGAAUCCUCCAGAGACGGAGGAGUGCCUUCGGGAGCCGUAACACAGGUGCUGCAUGGCUGUCGUCAGCUCGUGUCGUGAGAUGUUGGGUUAAGUCCCGCAACGAGCGCAACCCUUGUCAUUAGUUGCCAUCAUUUAGUUGGGCACUCUAAUGAGACUGCCGGUGACAAACCGGAGGAAGGUGGGGAUGACGUCAAGUCCUCAUGGCCCUUAUGACCAGGGCUUCACACGUCAUACAAUGGUCGGUACAGAGGGUAGCCAAGCCGCGAGGUGGAGCCAAUCCCAAAAAACCGAUCGUAGUCCGGAUUGCACUCUGCAACUCGAGUGCAUGAAGUCGGAAUCGCUAGUAAUCGCAGGUCAGCAUACUGCGGUGAAUACGUUCCCGGGUCU